rnacentral:lncRNA from 1 species
GUGGGUCUGUCAGACAACCCCAGGAUCGCCCCAGCCGAUGCGGCAACAACAGCUGAGAACGAUCCCCUACUGUGAGAGACCUCAAGAGAUUCCCACCGUUAAUCACGCUCCGAUCCCGAGGUCCUGAAUCAUCAACCAGACUUUGGUGCCUAUCUCGUUAGAGUUCUAAGAGACAGUUGUACGAACCUAUAGAACAGAUCCUGUUCAAGUAAGGUCGUGCUGUGUUCGCCCGUUGGGGUUCUAAUAUAGCUUGAAUAUGUCUUCAGACAUUGUGAUGUGGGACUAAGUGUCAUCGUUACGGGUCCACGUGGCGAGUCAUCCGACGUCGUUGUUCCGAGUCCAGAUUCGUGAUUGGUGAGUGGUGCUGUGGAGUGUAUCAAAAAAUGGUGCCAAUGGAUCCCGAUCGAUGGAUUUUUGUUUUUGUUUUUCGAGGUUGCUGCUUUUCAUAUUUCUCAGAUAUUUUUAUUCAUCAUAAUUCUUGAGAUAUGUUUCUAAAAUACCACAUUACACCAUAUGGAUUGGUUGAUUUGAUGAACCAGUUCAUCAAUUUAGAUCGAUCACUACUGAACUAUGGCUCACUCUAAUUCUCACAUGUAAGAUUUAUAGUGAUAUUUAUAAUAUAUUUGAAUAGAUUUAUAAUUUUUUUAUUGAAAAACAUUUUGAGUGAAGCAAAUGAAUACAAAACCUUAUCUAAAUCAGCUCAUACAUAAAAUAAUUUUUUAAAUAAUUUUAAUAGUUCAGAAAUAAGAGCAACCAACUUCUAUAUCAAUUUUUUUAGUAUUUUUAACUAUGUUUACAAUAUUUUUAUCACAACUACUUUUAGCACUUCCAUCAAAACACUAUAAGCUCGCUUAUUUAGAUACACGACUACUUAAAAAAUUAAAUAUUUGAUCAAAAUGUUAUCUAUUUGGUUGACACUCGACUAAUAUAUCAGUUCUGCUUAACUCACAUUCCAAGCUUAAUCGAUCAAUACAUCAUGCGGGGCUCAAGUCUAUAAGGCUAAUAAUAUUGUACCGAAAAGAAGAUUCAUACAGUUGCAUAAGCUUGCAUGAGCUUGAUCACAUAACGUUAAUGACCAAAUAAUAAUUCUUAAUUAACUUUAACCUCAACCCAAUAAUCACACAUGACAUAAUAAAAGACUCAAAUAUAUUUUCUCAAGGUUAUCUCUCUCGUACCCUAAAUUAUACCAUUUUUACUGGAUAUUUAAUUAAACUAUUUGAAUCAAUACUAAUUUAAAGUAUCAGAUGGAUCUCGUCAGAUAUAUCAUUUUGUCAUGAGACGAAUAAUCAAAAUUUAUCAUAACAAUAAUAAUAUUAAUUUAAAUAUAUAUAAAGUUUAAUCAUAAAUAUAACUAUAUAAUAUUAUUUUAACACAUAGGCUUUGUCAACUUUUACUUAUAUUCCAUUGACUUGUCACCUAACUGCAUCUUUACACGCAUAUUCUAUGGGAGACUUGGUUUAGGCUUCAACACCUGCAUUUCGAGUCGAAUGAUUAAGUAGAACUUGACUUUGCGCUUAAAAGCAAGUAAGAUAGUAUGCUGAUCUGACAUUCUUGGAAACUUGAUAGCUACUUAGUUCUUAUCUUAUAACAUCCCAUAUUUACUUUCAUUCGUAUCCUAUGCUGCUACCUUUUAUUUAUCAAUGAUAUUAAAUAUAACACAUCAAUAAAGUGUACAAAUUUGAAUAUCCUAAAUUGCUAAAUAAAAUGAUAAAGUUUUCCUUAUGCAAAUUGAUAUUUAACAUCUAUACAUAGAUUAUACAAAUUAAUGUUUAACAUCUACACAUAGAUUAAUAUUUUUAGUAUAACAUUUUUAUUUUUUUAUUUAAUUAUCUAUUACUCCAUCCAUAUUGUUUACAUAUUGUUUAAACUUCAAACUUAUUUUAGAUAAUCUUAUUUUAGACAUAAUCAAAACUAAUUCAAACCCGAAGAAUCACUUAUGAUUUAUUGUGAUACCAAAAUCUUUUAUAAUCAUCGUGUAUAUAUUUAUUGUCAUGAUAUAACUUCAUAUUUAAGUCCACUAGUAUGGCUUAUUAAGUUGAAUGAUUUUUUUUAAAAAUAUCUAGAAAAAAUCUUUUAUGUUAGGAUUGAAAUCAAAUAAUAUUAGAUUGGUUUUACGUACCUUUUGAUGUCAUCUGAAAAUGAUCUCUAUAUGAUAUUUAAAGACAUCGUCUUUGGAUCCAAAACCACUAUCAAUAUGUAGGAAGAACUAGAUUCUCCUUCUCCUCUUUUUUUAUCCUUUUACAUGACCACUUAGAUUGAUGAUUCAAAGAGGUUGAGAAAAAAACUGUAAUCUCUCAACUACGUCCUCUAUGAGAUGUGUUUUUUAGUCUUUAGAUGUCUUAUUUAUUUAUAGAAGAGAGCAGAGUGUUUAGGAUAAGUUAUUAGGAGAGUUCCUCACAUCCCUGAAUCUUACUUUUGACUUCUUUUCUAUUAGCUAAUAUCUAUCAUUAUAAUUUAAUUAGUUCUAUUAUAUAUUUUAUUUAAUUAUAAAGGGUCACAUAAUCUAAUAUUCUCCUACUUGACCGAAUAAUUGAUAAGAUAUAAAAGAUAUUCAAAAUCAAAAUAAAUAAAAUAAAAUUUAUUUAAAAAUAAUUUUAUAUAAUUGGAUUCUAAAAAAAUUUUGAAAAGUAUUUUAUACGUGACCAUGAAUUUUAAAAACAAGCCAAUAAACAUAAUAAUACUACAUUAAAUUCAACUAUCAAUGCGCGUCAUAACGGUUGUACAUCAUCAAUGUCAUACUCUCUUCUAUAUACCACAAUAUUGUUAGUAUUUCCUAAUAUAAUUUAUAAUGACCCUUGUAAUUUAUCUUGUCAACAUAGUCUUGUUAUUACAUUCAACUAUAAUAUGCAUAAAUAUAAAUAUAAAUAGGAUAACAAAAAUAAAUAACUUUAAUUAUGCAAAAGAAAUAACAAUAAUAGCAUCCACUUAAACAUGCAUCAUCAUAUCUUUUAUGGCUUACUCACAAGCCUCAUUCUAGGAACAUGAUCUUUAAAUAUUUUACAUUGUAAAUCUUUGGUAAAUGGAUCAGCAAUCAUAAUAUUGGUGCUCAUGUUCUCAAUUGACAUUUGUUGUUUCUGGACUUUUUUUUUCUAACCACCAAGUACUUUAUCUCGAUGUGCUUGAAACCACUAGAGUACUUGUUAUUCUUAAAGAUGAAAUCUGCUACAAUAUUAUCAUAAAAUAUCUUCAGCGGCCUAGUAAUUGAGUCAACCACACUAGUCCUGAGAUAAAAUUUCGUAGCCAUAAAGCUUGAUUUGUGGCCUCAAAGCAUGUCACAAAUUCAACCUCCAUUAUUGAUGAUGUAAUAAGCGAUUGCUUUCCACUUUUUAAAAAAAUUACCCCACCAGCUAACAUGAAUAUAAAUCCUGAAGAGGAUUUUUUACCAUCGAAGUAAUUUACAAAUUUAACAUUUUAAAUAUUCCAUCACUUCAAGUUGAUCUGAUCUCUUAUAUGCGGGCAUAUAAUCUUUCGUCCCUAUAGAUAUCUCAUUACUUUCUUUGUAGCUUUCCAAUGUUCAAUUCCUGGGUUGCUUUGAUGUUUACUCAGCAUCGUAACUAUAAAAUUGAUAUAUGGUAUUGUACAGGUUUGAGUAUAUAAUAUACUUCUAAUUGCACACCCAUAAGGAAUAUGUUUUUUUAUUUGAUUCAUUUCUAAGUCAUUUCUCGGGCACUAAUUUUGACUAUUUUUCACCUCUAGUAAUAGAUGUAUCAUUGGUUGAGUAAAACUGUAUAUUAAAUCUCUCGAAGAUACGAUUAGUAUAUACUUUUUGAGAUAAUCCUAAUAAUCAUUGAGAUAUAUUCCUGAAUAUCUAAAUGUCAAUAACAUAGACUACCUCAUUCAUAUUAGUCAUCUUAAAGUUUUUGCUGAGAAAUAUCUUGGUUUCGUGCAAUAAACCAAGAUAACUACUGACAAGUAAAAUAUCAUCCACAUAUAAGACUAAUAUAAUAAACUUGUUCCCACUUACCUUCAUAUAUAUAUGCACUGAUCAACAAUGUUUUUCUUAAAUCCGAAAAAAAAGUAAUGAUAUCAUUAAACUUUAUAUAUCAUUGUUUAGAAGCAUGUUUAAAGUCAUAAAUGAAUUUCUUAAGUUUACAAGCCCAAUUUUCUUUUCCCUUUUCUAUGAAUCAUUCAUAUUAUUCCAUAUAGAUUUCCUCAUCUAGAUCUCCAUUCAGAAAUACUAUUUUCACAUCCAUCUAAUGUAUCUCAAAAUCAUAAUGAUAUACUAAUACAAUGAUGAUUCUCAACGAGGCCUUUCUAGAAACUGGAGAAAAAGUCUCAUUAUAAUAGAUGCCUUCUUUUUUAGAAAAACCUUUGGCCAUAACUUUGGCUUUAUAUCAUUCGAUAUUGAGUCACGUUUUAUCUUAAAUAUCCAUUAACAACUGACUCUUUUACAAUUAUUGAAAAACUUAAUGAGUACCCAAACACCAUUCUGGUCCAUUAAUUUUAACUUUUCUUUUAUUACAUUAUAUUAUUUUUCAGAAUUAUUAUUUUCUAUGGCCUGUGAAAACGAUAAGGGGUCUCAUUUUAUUCUUAUAUCAUAAUUUGAUUUUUUAUAGAUAUACCAUAUAAUCAUCAGAAAUGACAUGUUUCCUUUUCCUUUGAGAUCUUCUCAAAGCCGUCAAUUGUAAUUAUUUUACAAGAUCAUAUGCGAUGAUAUCAACAUCAUGUGAGAGUUCAUCGAUAUUAUUUUAUUGUUCACUCUCAUCAAUUCUCUCAUUGAUUUGAGGAACAACAACUUCUAUGAGAUGACAUGGGAUAAUUAAUCUAAAUCUUCUCACUGUUCUAGGAAUCUUGCAUUAUUAGAUUCUAUUAUUCUCGUACUAUGAUUAGGAUAAUAAAAUCUAUAUUCGUUGGAUUUAUCUGGAUAAUCAAUAAAAUAUUCAAAAAUAGUUCUUGGAUCUAAUUUAUUUUCAUGUGGACUGAGCUUCCUACCUGUCCGUAACUCAAAUGAAGUUAAUAAAUUAAUUUACUAGGAACCCUAUUUAAGUUGUAUAUAGCAAGAAAAACUAAACUCUCACUCUUCUUAUCCUUUUAUAGGACUUAGAUUGAUGGUUUAAGGAAAUUGAGAGAAAAAUUGUAAUCUCUAUCAGAUAUAUUUUUUUAAUUCUUAAGGUCAUGUCUAUUUAUAAGCGAGAGUAGAGGGUCUAGAAUAAAUUAUUAUGAAUAGUUCUGACAUCUUCUAAAAAUUCUAUUUUAAUAUAAACAUCUCAACGAAGACGCGAUGCCGAUCAGCUUUCUGCAUGAAAAUGAUCAAUUCUAAGUGAAUUUGUGCCAACAUUGAUAGAUCAAAAAUAGGAAGAAGAUGAUUAUUGAGAUUCUUUGUAGUAUUCUUACUGGUAUUGGAGUUAUUGCAAAUGCGUCGUUCCUGAUGUCAAUCACCGUGAGGCUCUCUAAUUUCUCUUCUUUCUUUUAAGAGUUGCUUGUAUAACAAACAGUAACAUCUUGUCGUGUUCAUCGAAUGUACCGAGAAGCGGGAAUGGUGAUUAGAAGAAUACGUUCCAAUAAGAUCGGAAAGAAUGUUAAGAGAAAAUUAACAUUUCCAAUUUGUAAUGAUGAGGUUUUCCCUUCUGCACAAGCACUCAGGUUAAGUGCUUCGCCCACGUUUGCUUUAAACAUUGCCUGUAUACCAAUCAUGAAAACAAGGGAAUUUUGAAUUGAAUGAUUGGGAGAAGUAGCACUUGCCUGAUUGGGACCAGACGUGGGCUAUAUAUAUAUAUAUAUAUAUAUAUAUAUAUAUAUAUAUAUAUAUAUAUAUAUAUAUAUAUAUAUAUAUAAAAGCUUCUUCGAGCUUUAUGGUAUAAUGGAAUUGGAAGGAAUGUUCCGAUGCACUGACUGUUUGCUUCUGGGCACAAUUUUUAUUAUUUUAAAUAAUGGGAUGAUAUAAUCCAACUAUUAUUAGAAAAGCAAAAAUUAUAUAUCCAUCUGAACAACAUGGAUAUAUACAAAUAUAACUAUAUUUAUGUUUAGCAUUAGAUAUAUAUGUCUCAUUUUAACAGCAAUACAAGAUAGAUAGCAUGUCCAAUUAGCAAAAUAUGCACUUUGACCAAGUUUUUGAUCCAUUUAAGUCCAAAAAAGUGUGUGGGUCUGUCAGACAACCCCAGGAUCGCCCCAGCCGGAUGGGGUAACCACCAGCUGAGAACGAUCCCCUACCGUGAGAGAUCUCGAGAGAUCCCCACCGUUAAUCACGCUCCGAUCCCGAGGUCCUGAAUCAUCAACCAGACUUUGGUGCCUGUCUCGUUAGAGUUCUAAGAGACAGUUGUACGAACCUAUAGAACAGAUCCUGUUCAAGUAAGGUCGU